CGAUUUUCGCAAUGCCCGAAAGGGUGACGAAGCGACGCCGCGUGCGGGAGGAAGGCCUUCGGGUUGUAAACCGCUGUCGGGAGUUAAGAAAUGCAAGGAUGUUAAUAGCGUUCUUGCUUGACUAAGGCUCCGGAGGAAGCCACGGCUAACUCUGUGCCAGCAGCCGCGGUAAUACAGAGGCGGCAAGCGUUGUUCGGAAUUAUUGGGCGUAAAGAGCACGUAGGCGGCUGUGUAAGUCGGUUGUGAAAGCCUUCCGCUCAACGGAAGAACGGCAUCCGAUACUGCAUGGCUUGAGUGUGGGAGGGGAGAGUGGAACUUCUGGUGGAGCGGUGAAAUGCGUAGAUAUCAGAAGGAACACCGGCGGCGAAGGCGACUCUCUGGUCCAUAACUGACGCUGAGUGUGCGAAAGCUAGGGGAGCAAACGGGAUUAGAUACCCCGGUAGUCCUAGCCGUAAACGAUGGGCACUAAGUAGAGGGGUUUU
rnacentral:rRNA from 1 species